CCUACGGGGGGCAGCAGUGGGGAAUAUUGCACAAUGGGGGAAACCCUGAUGCAGCGACGCCGCGUGGGUGAAGAAGUAAUUCGUUACGUAAAGCUCUAUCAGCAGGGAAGAUAUACUGACUUUACGGUCAGCAGACGGUACCUGAGUAAGAAGCACCGGCUAACUAAGUGCCAGCAGCCGCGGUAAUACGGAGGGGGCAAGCGGUAUCCGGAUUUACUGGGUGUAAAGGGAGCGUAGUCGGUGCGCCAAGUCCGAAGUGAAAUGCCGAAGCUUAACUGCGGAACUGCAUUGGAAACUGGCGAACUAGAGUGCGGGAGAGGUAGGCGGAAUUCCUGGUGUAGCGGUGAAAUGCGUAGAGAUUAAGAGGAACACCGGUGGCGAAGGCGGCUUACUGGACCGUAACUGACGUUGAGGCGCGAAAGCGUGGGGAGCAAACAGGAUUAGAUACCCGAGUAGUC
rnacentral:rRNA from 1 species